ACGCACGCUGGCGGCGUGCUUAACACAUGCAAGUCGAACGGAAAGGCCCUGCUUUUGUGGGGUGCUCGAGUGGCGAACGGGUGAGUAACACGUGAGUAACCUGCCCUUGACUUUGGGAUAACUUCAGGAAACUGGGGCUAAUACCGGAUAGGAGCUCCUGCUGCAUGGUGGGGGUUGGAAAGUUUCGGCGGUUGGGGAUGGACUCGCGGCUUAUCAGCUUGUUGGUGGGGUAGUGGCUUACCAAGGCUUUGACGGGUAGCCGGCCUGAGAGGGUGACCGGCCACAUUGGGACUGAGAUACGGCCCAGACUCCUACGGAAGGCAGCAGUGGGGAAUAUUGCACAAUGGGCGGAAGCCUGAUGCAGCAACGCCGCGUGCGGGAUGACGGCCUUCGGGUUGUAAACCGCUUUCGCCUGUGACGAAGCGUGAGUGACGGUAAUGGGUAAAGAAGCACCGGCUAACUACGUG
rnacentral:rRNA from 1 species